GGAGCAUGUGGUUUAAUUCGAGACGAAGCGAAGACCUUACCUAGACUUGACAUGUACCUGCAAGCUGUGGAAACACAGUCGCCUUUGAGGGUGGUACACAGGUGAUGCAUGGUUAUGCAUUUGUGCGAAAGCACAGACGAUGACCCCUUACACAGUAAUGUGUAAGUGACAACUAAGCUCAUAACGGUGAACCCUAGCGUAAAAUGUGUUAUGUAUUACAUAUGGCACAUCGAAUGUUUGGCAACCCCGUGGGAAGCUCAAGGCAAAAAGUUUUUCCUUUGUUGAAUAUUGAUUCAUAUAUUCUUGGUUUGUGGAGUGCAGAUGGAUAUUUACGAUCAAGCAGUUUUGGACUGACAUCGAUUUAUCCCAUUUUAAUUGAUAGAUUUCGAGCUUUUUUACGACUUUAUUUUGAUAAUUCCCGAAUAAAGGUGCGAAAGUACCUUCCAAUGAAGGAUUUUUAUCAAUAUGAUUUUGCGAAAAAUCCAAAAGUUUAUCUUUUAAAAAAAGCAAAGCAUCCCGCAUAUCAGAUAUAUGUGAAUUGUAGGCCGUUUAUUCGCGCAUUCUUUAAUGAAGAUUUGCAAAAGAGGAGUGUAUUGCAAAAUACACAAGCCUAUUUUGCAGGUCGAUUUGAUGGUGAUGGAAGUGUGUCUAAAAAUUUGAAAAACGAUUUUCGGAUCGCAUAUACAACAUUUGAAGAUGCACAACGAGAUCAAAAAUAUGUAAAUAUUUUAUCUUCCACUAUUACUUCAUCAAUUUAUCAUUACGAACACGCGAAGACGUUUGUUUUGUAUAUUCAUACAGACGCAUCUCAUGAAUUCUUGAGAUUAAUAGAGCCGUAUUCAGCAAAAGCGCAAAAGCUUCUUGUAGCCCCGUAGAGACUGAUCCGCAAACGCGGUGAGAUACAUUUCGUAUCAUACGCUUAGCCCCUUUGAAAUAAGGGUGAUGGUAUAGUCCGUCUAUCAGGAAACUGAAUAGAUUAUCGGUCGUCAGCUCGUGGCGUGAGUCGUCUGCUUCAGUGCAGCAACGAGCGCAACCCCUGUCGCGUGUUAUAUUUCACGCGAGACUGCCGGUCACCAAGAUCGGAGGAAGGAGGGGACGACGUCAAAUCAGCACGUCCCUUACGUCUAGGGCCACACACAUCCUACAAUGGCGAGUACAACGGGUCGCGACGGGGUAACCCCGAGCUAAUCCUUAUAAAACUUGCCUCAGUUCAGAUUGAGGGCUGAAACUCGCCCCCAUGAAGUCGGAAUUGGUAGUAAUCGCAAAUCAGAAGAUUGCGGUGAAUACGUUCUCGCUCCUUGCACAACGUAAAUAUGCGCCUUCCGUUUAUAUCAUUAAGCCGGUGUAAAUCCGGUUAGUCACAACAAGAUGACUAAAGCGAAAUUACAGACCUCUCUUGGUAACAAGCAGGUUGAAGGGUGAAAGUAGCAGAAUUUAGCUUGAAGUUUUACAGGCAUAUAUGUAUCACGACCCCACGUGCAGCGGGGGAAGUUCUUGUUGAUAUAUACAUAUAUGUAUUUGAGCUCGAGAUAGAUUCAAAUCGAUGAUAUAGAUACGAAGGGAGAUCCAUUUUGAUCUCUAUUGAAAUAUUCUACUUUGAGUAGAAAUAGAAUAUGAUAUGUAGAGUAUGAAUCGAGUGAUUGGUUCAAAAAUCAAUGUGGAAGUCUGCAAGCGUCGUAGUACCGAGAGAUCGGGAAGGACGCACUUGAUAUGAUACUUCCGGGAGAUUAUGUUUCUGGAUUUAUUGAUGGAGAAGGAUGUUUUACAAUAUCCAUCUCAAAACAUCGAACGAAAAAAUUAGGAAUAGAUGCUCGCAUUUAUUUCGAAAUUGAACUUCGGGAUGAUGAUAGAGAUAUUCUUCAAUCAAUUCGUGAAACAAUCGGCUGUGGUAGAAUCUAUACACUUUCUUACGAAAGAUAUGGAUGGCAUCCACAUGUUGAGUUAAAAAUAUCUUCUAUGGAAGAGAUUACACAAAAGUUAGUUCCUUUUCUUUCGAAAUAUCCAUUACGAGCUAAGAAGCGGUUUUCAUAUGCCUGCUUUUUAGAGGCGAUUGAGAUAUUUAAAAAGAAAGAACAUCUUUCUUUAUCAGGAAUUGAUAAAUUAAGAGAGAUUAGGAAACGAAUGAAUGUGUAUUCCAAAAAAUCAAGCGUCGGCUAGGGUACGGGAAAACCGUGUGCCCAGUCGGGAGAGAAGUAUGUUCAGUGAUGACAUAACUAUCUCAGAACACUGCCCGUCAAAUGAGUGGAGUUGGCAACGCCCGAAGCGGAUGACCCUAACGCGCAAGCGAGGGGCGCCACUACGGCGAGGUCAAUGACAAGCGUUAAGUCGUAACAAGGUAUCCCUACUGGAAGGUGGGGAUGGAUCACCUCCUUUCU
rnacentral:rRNA from 1 species